rnacentral:rRNA from 1 species
GAUGAACGCUGAUAGAAUGCUUAACACAUGCAAGUCUACUUGAUUCUACUUCGGUAGUUGAUGGUGGCGGACGGGUGAGUAACGCGUAAAGAAUCUGCCCUUUAGUUCGGGAUAACCUUUGGAAACGAAGGACAAUACCGGAUAUUAUGGAGACGUCGCAUGACGAUUUCAUGAGAGCUAUAUGCGCUAGAGGAGGACUUUGCGUCCCAUUAGUUAGUUGGUGAGGUAAUGGCUCACCAAGACCGCGAUGGGUAGCCGGCCUGAGAGGGUGAUCGGCCACAAGGGAACUGAGACACGGUCCUUACUCCUACGGGAGGCAGCAGUGGGGAAUAUUGGACAAUGGGCCACAAGCCUGAUCCAGCAAUUCUGUGUGCACGAUGAAGGUCUUCGGAUUGUAAAGUGCUUUCAGUAGGGAAGAAAAAAUGACGGUACCUACAGAAGAAGCGACGGCUAAAUAUGUGCCAGCAGCCGCCGUAA